rnacentral:rRNA from 2 species
CUUUUUCGAAAGGUAUACUUAAAGAGGGGCUUGCGGCACAUUAGUUAGUUGGUAGGGUAAAAGCCUACCAAGACCAUGAUGUGUAGCUGGACUGAGAGGUUGAACAGCCACAUUGGGACUGAGACACGGCCCAAACUCCUACGGGAGGCAGCAGUAGGGAAUUUUCGGCAAUGGAGGAAACUCUGACCGAGCAACGCCGCGUGAACGAUGAAGUAUUUCGGUAUGUAAAGUUCUUUUAUUGGAGAAGAAAAAAUAGUGGAAAAACUAUCUUGACGAUAUUCAAUGAAUAAGCCCCGGCAAACUAUGUGCCAGCAGCCGCGGUAAUACAUAGGGGGCGAGCGUUAUCCGGAAUUAUUGGGCGUAAAGGGUGCGUAGGCGGUUUGGUAAGUCUAUAGUUUAAUUUCAGUGCUUAACACUGUUCUGCUAUAGAAACUAUCAGACUAGAGUGAGAUAGAGGCAAGUGGAAUUCCAUGUGUAGCGGUAAAAUGCGUAAAUAUAUGGAGGAACACCAGAGGCGUAGGCGGCUUGCUGGGUCUUUACUGACGCUGAGGCACGAAAGCGUGGGGAGCAAACAGGAUUAGAUACCCUGGUAGUCCACGCCGUAAACGAUGAGUACUAAGUGUCGGGGAAACUCGGUACUGAAGUUAACACAUUAAGUACUCCGCCUGAGUAGUACGUACGCAAGUAUGAAACUUAAAGGAAUUGACGGGACUCCGCACAAGCGGUGGAUCAUGUUGUUUAAUUCGAAGAUACACGAAAAACCUUACCAGGUCUUGACAUACUCUGCAAAGCUAUAGCAAUAUAGCGGAGGUUAUCAGGGAUACAGGUGGUGCAUGGUUGUCGUCAGCUGUGUCGUGAGAUGUUAGGUUAAGUCCUAAAACGAGCGCAACCCUUGUCACUAGUUGCCAGCAUAUUAUGAUGGGCACUUUAGUGAGACUGCCAAUGAAAAAUUGGAGGAAGGUGAGGAUCACGUCAAAUCAUCAUGCCCCUUAUGAUCUGGGCUACAAACGUGAUACAAUGGCUGUUACAAAGAGUAGCUAAAACGCGAGUUUAUAGCCAAUCUCAUAAAAGCAGUCUCAGUUCGGAUU